AGCGAACGCUGGCGGCGUGCCUAACACAUGCAAGUCGAACGUGAAAGGGAGCACUCCCAAGUAAAGUGGCGUACGGGUGAGUAACACGUAGGUAAUCUACCCCAGAAUCUGGAAUAACCGGCCGAAAGGCUGGCUAAUACUGGAUAGAGCGACGGAAUCCGUAAUUGGGUUUUUCGGGAAAGGGAGCCUGUAAAAAGGCCUUCGUUCUGGGAUGAGCCUGCGUCCCAUCAGCUAGUUGGUGAGGUAAAAGCUUACCAAGGCAAUGACGGGUAGCUGGUCCGAGAGGACGGUCAGCCAAACUGGAACUGAAACAAGGGCCAGACUCCUACGGGAGGCAGCAGGGGGGAAUCUUGCGCAAUGGACGAAAGUCUGACGCAGCAACGCCGCGUGAGGGAAGAAGGCCUUCGGGUUGUAAAGCUCUGUCGAGUGGGACGAAAAUGCUUGGAGUUCACAGCUCCAGGAACUGACGGUACCACGAAAGGAAGCACCGGCUAACUCCGUG
rnacentral:rRNA from 1 species